AUCUGGGCGGCGGAAUUCAGGAUGGCUGGCGCGAGCCUCGCGCACGCACGGCCGUCUGAUAUUUCCGUCGCCGUGUCGGACGUCGCGACCUGUUGGCCGUCGGUCCUUGCUCGGAGGAAGCGCGAUCGAGUUCGUGGCGCGGUGCGUUUCGGCGUGUCGCGCGGCGAAGACGCGUCUCUCUGGCCGACGGCGGACAGUAAGCAACGGUGUCCGACGCCGUGUCUCGCACUCGGCGCCGGUGCCGGUCUGCGACGAUUUCUUCGGGCCUCUUUCCGACCCGUCUUGAAACACGGACCAAGGAGUCUAACAUGCGCGCGAGUCGCGGGGUUUCGAGUGCGCUACGGCGCGCUCGUCACUUGCGAAACCCGUACGUGGAAGGCGUAAUGAAAGUGAAUGGGGAAGAUGGCGUUCCGAGUCCACGUACCGUGAUCGAGUGUCGCGGCCGGACGUCCGCACUCCCGGGGCGUCUCGAUGGUUCGGCGCGGACGCGGACGGUCGUCUCUUCGGGGGCGGCCGUCGGUCUGCGGCGGACCGA
rnacentral:rRNA from 1 species